UAAGCAUAUCAAUAAGCGGAGGAAAAGAAACUAACAAGGAUUCCCCUAGUAACUGCGAGUGAAGCGGGAAAAGCUCAAAUUUAAAAUCUGGUGGUCUUUGGCCGUCCGAGUUGUAAUUUAGAGAAGCGUCUUCCGCGCUGGACCGUGCACAAGUCUCCUGGAACGGAGCGUCGUAGAGGGUGAGAAUCCCGUCUUUGGCAUGGACACACCAGGGCUUUUGCGAUGCGCUCUCGAAGAGUCGAGUUGUUUGGGAAUGCAGCUCAAAAUGGGUGGUGAACUCCAUCUAAAGCUAAAUAUUGGCGAGAGACCGAUAGCGAACAAGUACCGUGAGGGAAAGAUGAAAAGCACUUUGGAAAGAGAGUGAAACAGUACGUGAAAUUGUUGAAAGGGAAACGCUUGAAGUCAGUCGCGUCGUCCGAGACUCAGCCUCGCCUCGGCUUGGCGUACUUCUCGGCCCGACGGGUCAGCAUCAAUUUCGCCUCUCGGAUAAUGGCGAGGGAAAAGUGACACCUUUACGGUGUGUUAUAGUCUUUCGUCGCAUGCGAGGGUCGGGAUUGAGGAACUCAGCACGCGCCCUCGGGCGUCGGGGCUUUCGCCCACGAUACGUGCUUAGGAUGUUGGCGUAAUGGCUUUAAACGACCCGUCUUGAAACACGGACCAAGGAGUCUAACAUGCCUGCGAGUGUUCGGGUGGAAAACCCGUGCGCGCAAUGAAAGUGAAAGUUGGGACCUCCGUCGUGGAGGGCACCGACGCCCGGACCAGACCUUCUGUGACGGCUCUGCGGUAGAGCAUGCAUGUUAGGACCCGAAAGAUGGUGAACUAUGCCUGAAUAGGGUGAAGCCAGAGGAAACUCUGGUGGAGGCUCGUAGCGAUUCUGACGUGCAAAUCGAUCGUCAAAUUUGGGUAUAGGGC
rnacentral:rRNA from 1 species